AUGAAAAGCAGGUUUCAGGUUACCAGAGACACGUCCAGCAACACAGUAACAUUAACAGGACAGAACAUGCAGACUGAAGACACAGCUGUGUAUUACUGUGCUUGUGACCCACACAAUUCUUAUGGACAGUCCCUGAUCUCCAAUGCUUCUGUGGUGAAGAGACCUGGAGAGUCAGUCACUGUGUCCUGUACUGUCUCUGGAUUCUCAGUAAGUGGCUUCUACAUGAGCUGGAUCCGUCAGAAACCAGGACAAGAACUGGAGUGGAUCGGAUAUAUUAAUGAAGGCACCAGGACUUGGUUUGCUCAGUCUCUGCAGGGCCGGGUCUCCAUCACUAAAGACAACAAUAAAAACAUUCUGUACCUAGAAGUUAAGUGUCUGAAAGCUGAAGACACGGCUGUUUAUUACUGUGCACGACGCUCACACUGA